rnacentral:rRNA from 1 species
CGGGGGGGGCAAGCGUUGUUCGGAAUUACUGGGCGUAAAGGGCGCGUAGGCGGCCUGCUAAGUCGGACGUGAAAUCCCCCGGCUCAACCGGGGAACUGCGUCCGAUACUGGUGGGCUCGAAUCCGGGAGAGGGAUGUGGAAUUCCAGGUGUAGCGGUGAAAUGCGUAGAUAUCUGGAGGAACACCGGUGGCGAAGGCGGCAUCCUGGACCGGUAUUGACGCUGAGGCGCGAAAGCCAGGGGAGCAAACGGGAUUAGAUACCCCGGUAGUCCUGGCCCUAAACGAUGAGUGCUUGGUGUGGCGGGUAUCGAUCCCUGCCGUGCCGAAGCUAACGCAUUAAGCACUCCGCCUGGGGAGUACGGUCGCAAGGCUG